rnacentral:rRNA from 1 species
AUUGAACGCUGGCGGCAUGCUUUACACAUGCAAGUCGAACGGUAACAGGCCGCAAGGUGCUGACGAGUGGCGAAACGGGUGAGUAAUGUAUCGGAACGUGCCCAGUCGUGGGGGAUAACGCAGCGAAAGCUGCGCUAAUACCGCAUACGAUCUAUGGAUGAAAGCGGGGGAUCGCAAGACCUCGCGCGAUUGGAGCGGCCGAUAUCAGAUUAGGUAGUUGGUGGGUAAAGGCUCACCAAGCCAACGAUCUGUAGCUGGUCUGAGAGGACGACCAGCCACACUGGAACUGAGACACGGUCCAGACUCCUACGGGAGGCAGCAGUGGGGAAUUUUGGACAAUGGGCGCAAGCCUGAUCCAGCAAUGCCGCGUGCAGGAAGAAGGCCUUCGGGUUGUAAACUGCUUUUGUACGGAACGAAAAGGCUCUGGUUAAUACCUGGGGCUCAUGACGGUACCGUAAGAAUAAGCACCGGCUAACUACGUG